rnacentral:lncRNA from 1 species
CGCUCUUGCACAGGCUGUGUUUGGAAAAACUGGUUUGGAUAAUGAGGCAACACCCACUUCUUCUACGCCUGGUGCCUUCGGUGCCAUGGCUAAUUUUCUUGUCCCGAAGCUACCAGCUGGUCUUGGUGGAACCUUUUCCCAAGAGAGAACAAAUACUGCUGAUCAAUCCAAGAUCAUUAAAAGAGAAAGACAUGCAAUUCGUCCUCCGGUGGAGCAUAAUUGGUCGCUUCCUGGAACCAGUGUUGAUCUUAAGCCUCCGCAGAUAUUUAAGCAUGAGCUUCUUCAAAAUUUUGCAAUCAACAUGUUCUGCAAGGUUUUGUUUAUAAUCUUUCGACUUUGACACAGCCCACGUUAGGGUGGUAGAGUUCUAUGAAUUUUUACAAGUUUUUUUGGCCUGCCUGCAGAUACCUGUAAGCAAGGUUCAGACAUUUGGUGACCUGCGAAAUGUUCUGAUGAAAAGAAUAUUUCUCUCUGCUCUACAUUUUCGAAUUAACACAAGAUACAAGGUAUGGCUUAUGAUGAUUUAGGAUGUUGCCUUGCUUAAAGACAUUUGUUCUCAGAUUUUUCUCGAGAAGAAAAAAAAAUGUUCUCAUUUUCUUGUACUGUGCAUGCAACUUAGCUUUUUGUAAAGUAAAUUGGUAGCCCUUCAAGUAUUGUAAAAGUGGUCAAUCUAAUGGGAGUUAGUACUGUCCGUAAAUUUGAUGAUGUUAUUUGUGUACCUUUCAGAGUUCAAAUCCGCCAUUUACCUCAGUUGAACUGGACCAUAGUGAUUCAGGAAGGGAAGGAUGCACUGUUACGACUCUUACUGUCACCGCAGAGCCCAAAAAUUGGCAAAAUGCUGUAAAAGUUGCUGUCCAAGAGGUUUGCUUAUUCUUUGCUCUCACUUUUCGCCAUAGUGAAUACUGUUGUUCUGUUUGGUUGAACCGAUAAUUUGGACUUGGUGUCAAAUAUAUUGGUUGAAUUCAUAAGCUAAAGAGAUGGUCGAAGCCAUUUGUCAGUUUUUAUUUGCUUAUGAGAACUCGUUCGGCUAUAUUUAACAUGUAAUUCUGCUCCCUAGGUUCGAAGACUCAAAGAAUUUGGUGUUACCAAGGGUGAACUUACACGUUACAUGGAUGCUCUUUUAAAAGACAGCGAACAUCUUGCAGCUAUGAUUGAUAAUGUGUCGUCUGUUGAUAACCUGGACUUUAUAAUGGAAAGUGAUGCACUAGGUCACACGGUUAUGGAUCAGACGCAAGGACAUGAGACCUUGGUUGCUGUCGCUGGGACUGUUACGCUUGAAGAGGUAGGCUUCACAGUUCCAUUUAUUCUUAUUAGCUUUUCAAGUAGAAUGUGACACGAAAAGUGAAUAUUUAUUUCGAAAUUCCUGGUGUUUAUCAACAAAAUGCUCAUCAAUAACUGUGGAAUUUCUAUUCCUCCAUAUCAUCAUAUUAAUUUUAUUUUAUAAUAUUGGAAUUAGUUUUUUCUUAUUUUUUUAUGCGUUUCCUGUCCAGGUAAACACUGUUGGCGCCAAGGUAUUAGAAUUUGUUUCUGAUUUUGGAAAGCCCACUGCACCUCUUCCUGCAGCAAUAGUUGCUUGUGUUCCCACAAAAAUGCAUGGCGAGGGGGUUGAUGAGAGUGAUUUCAAUAUAACUCCCAGCGAAAUAUUGGAUUCUGUCAAAUCAGGAUUACUAGCACCCAUUGAAGCUGAGCCUGAGGUAAUCUUUGGUUUGGAACUUCUUUGAUUUUAACUUCACAUAGUUCAAGUCUAGAACAAAGGCUAGUUCUGAAUCAGUUUUUUUCCCUUCAUCUUUGCAGUUAGAGGUGCCAAAAGAAUUGAUCUCUCAAUCACAAUUACAAGAGUUAACCUUGCAGCGAAACCCAUGUUUUGUCCCUAUUCCUGGGUCAGGCGUAACCAAAUUGCAUGACAAAGAGACUGGCAUCACUCAGCUUCGCCUAUCCAAUGGGAUACCUGUAAAUUUCAAGGUACAUGUCGGUUGAUGAGGAAGAUGAUGAGCAAGGCAUUGCUCAUAUGAUAGAACAUGUUGCGUUUCUUGGGAGCAAGAAACGUGAGAAACUUCUUGGUACAGGUGCCCGCUCUAAUGCCUACACUGAUUUCCACCAUACAGUGUUUCAUAUCCAUUCUCCAACGCACACAAAGGUUUGUUUUCUUGUUUACGGGUUGUCAUAUUUAUUGAUUUUUGGCUUCUUUUGGUUAGUUCAGUUUUACAGGUUUUUAUUUCCUCUGUAUUUGCUUUAACAGAUAUGGUGCUUAUAGUGGUAUGACUGACUUGUGGUGCUUAGAGUAUAACAUUGAUUUUACCAAUUAUUGCAUUUUUUUUCUCUUUUUCUACUUAUUACUCUUUUUCUUCUCUCCACAUCCCUCGGAAGACUUCACUCUAUAUGUAUAUUUAUCUAAAUUUUGCAUAGGAAAUAAUAUAUCUUCACAAGCAAAAGUAGUGGGUUCGGCAUUUAUCUGUAUUUGUUGAUUGACCUUGAAACCAGUUUCUUUGUUUGAGUCGUCUGUACUUGUUAUUGUGAUAAUUUGGAGAGCGUGUCCUUAUUUACUAGUUUCAUUUUAAUUGAAGUGCUGAAACUUUUCAGGACUCUGAGGACGACCUCUUUCCAUCGGUGCUCGACGCCUUGAAUGAGGUAUACAUCAUUGAUUUGCUAUCUAAGAUGAUGUCUUCCUAUGGGAUAUGUCCUGAGUGUUUAUGUACUGAAAAUUAGAAUCCCUCUAAAUUUCAUAGGUAUAAUUCAUUUGGUGGACAAAAUCUUAUUUCUCUAAUGAUUACAGAUAGCUUUUCACCCCAAAUUCCUCUCUUCUCGAGUUGAGAAAGAAAGGCGAGCCAUACUUUCGGAACUUCAGAUGAUGAAUACCAUUGAGUAUCGUGUUGACUGCCAGGUAUUCAUGAAGAAUGUAUUUUAUAUGUCAGCAUAAAUUUUCUUUUGGUGGGUUGUCAAUGAUGCAUUGUGUUUUGUUUCCUGACACAAGUUGUUGCAACAUCUACAUUCUGAGAACAAGUUGGGUAAAAGGUUCCCUAUUGGAUUGGAAGAGCAGAUUAAGAAGUGGGAUGUUGACAAAAUCAGGAAAUUCCACGAGCGAUGGUACUUCCCAGCGAAUGCCACGUUAUAUAUUGUGGGAGACAUUGACAAUAUACCUCGGAUUGUCCACAAUAUUGAAGUAAUGAUAUUGUCUUUACAUUUCUUUUGCAUGUUCUUUUUCUCUUCAGUCGAUAUGUGUUGAUUUAUGCUUCCUAGUCUAUCUUACCCUAUCUUGACUGGACCAUCCCUCUUGCACAGGCUGUGUUUGGAAAAACUGGUUUGGAUAAUGAGGCAACACCCACUUCUUCUACGCCUGGUGCCUUCGGUGCCAUGGCUAAUUUUCUUGUCCCGAAGCUACCAGCUGGUCUUGGUGGAACCUUUUCCCAAGAGAGAACAAAUACUGCUGAUCAAUCCAAGAUCAUUAAAAGAGAAAGACAUGCAAUUCGUCCUCCGGUGGAGCAUAAUUGGUCGCUUCCUGGAACCAGUGUUGAUCUUAAGCCUCCGCAGAUAUUUAAGCAUGAGCU